rnacentral:rRNA from 1 species
GAUGAACGCUGGCGGCGUGCCUAAUACAUGCAAGUCGAGCGAACAGACGCGGAGCUUGCUCCUCUGACGUUAGCGGCGGACGGGUGAGUAACACGUGGAUAACCUACCUAUAAGACUGGGAUAACUUCGGGAAACCGGAGCUAAUACCGGAUAAUAUAUUGAACCGCAUGGUUCAAUAGUGAAAGACGGUUUUGCUGUCACUUAUAGAUGGAUCCGCGCCGCAUUAGCUAGUUGGUAAGGUAACGGCUUACCAAGGCAACGAUGCGUAGCCGACCUGAGAGGGUGAUCGGCCACACUGGAACUGAGACACGGUCCAGACUCCUACGGGAGGCAGCAGUAGGGAAUCUUCCGCAAUGGGCGAAAGCCUGACGGAGCAACGCCGCGUGAGUGAUGAAGGUCUUCGGAUCGUAAAACUCUGUUAUUAGGGAAGAACAAAUGUGUAAGUAACUAUGCACGUCUUGACGGUACCUAGUCAGAAAGCCACGGCUAACUACGUG